UAUUAUCUGGUUAAAUGGACCAGGGUGUGCCGAUCUAAGAAUAAGGGUGGGCUGGGGGUGAAAGAUCUUCACAAACAGAAUAUCUCACUAUUAGCAAAAUGGUGGUGGAAGUUAGAUACAGGAGAGGGGCUGUGGCAAGAUGUGGUAAGGGCAAAAUACCUUAAGAACAAUUCACUAGCUGCUGUGAAAGCGAAAUUUCAUGAUUCCCCUGUAUGGAAAGCACUACUUAAAGUAAAAGAGAUGUAUAUGGCUGGAAGGAAGGUGAUUGUCAAUAAUGGCAAUGUUGCCAGGUUGUGGCAUGAUCCCAUUGGCACUCACCAGCCUUUGGGUGUCACUUAUCCGACCCUGUUCAGUAUCGCUAAUUAUCAGGACGAUACUAUUGCUCAAUUUAUCAAACCGUGCUAG
rnacentral:rRNA from 1 species